rnacentral:rRNA from 1 species
CGGGGAGGUAGUGACGAAAAAUAACAAUACGGGACUCAUCCGAGGCCCCGUAAUUGGAAUGACUACAAUUUAAAUCCUUUAAGAAGGAUCCAUUGGAGGGCAAGUCUGGUGCCAGCAGCCGCGGUAAUUCCAGCUCCAAUAGCGUAUAUUAAAGUUGCUGCAGUUAAAAAGCUCGUAGUUGGAUCUCAGUUACGGGCAGGUGGUUCACUUUACAGUGCUACUACCUGAACCGAACCUAUUGCUGGAUCUCUUGGGUGCCCUUCACUGGGUGCCCCUUGAGACCAGAGCGUUUACUUUGAGAAAAUUAGAGUGCUCAAAGCAGGCGAAUGCCUGAAUAGUUGUGCAUGGAAUAAUGAAAUAUGGCCUCGGUACUGUUUUGUUGGUUCACGGUGCUCGAGGUAAUGGUUGAAAGGGACUGACGGGGGCAUUCGUAUUGCGACGUUAGAGGUGAAAUUCUUAGAUCGUCGCAAGACGGACUACUGCGAAAGCAUUUGCCAAGAAUGUCUUCAUUAAUCAAGAACGAAAGUCAGAGGUUCGAAGGCGAUCAGAUACCGCCCUAGUUCUGACCUUAAACGAUGCUAACUGGCGAUCCAGUGGGGGUAUUUAAAAUGACCUGCUGGGCAGCUUCUGGGAAACCAAAGUUUUUGGGUUCCGGGGGAAGUAUGGUUGCAAAGCUGGAACUUAAAGGAAUUGACGGAAGGGCACCACCAGGAGUGGAGCCUGUGGCUUAAUUUGACUCAACACGGGAAACCUCACCAGGCCCAGACACUAGAAGGAUUGACAGAUUGAGAGCUCUUUCUUGAUUUGGUGGAUGGUGGUGCAUGGCCGUUCUUAGUUGGUGGAGUGAUUUGUCUGGUUAAUUCCGAUAACGAACGAGACUUUAGCCUACUAAAUAGAUGGCGGAUACUCAA